CCUACGGGCGGCAGCAGUGAGGAAUAUUGGUCAAUGGGCGCGAGCCUGAACCAGCCAAGUAGCGUGAAGGAUGACUGCCCUACGGGUUGUAAACUUCUUUUAUAAAGGAAUAAAGUGAGGCACGUGUGCCUUUUUGCAUGUACCUUAUGAAUAAGGAUCGGCUAACUCCGUGCCAGCAGCCGCGGUAAUACGGAGGAUCCGAGCGUUAUCCGGAUUUAUUGGGUUUAAAGGGAGCGUAGAUGGGUUGUUAAGUCAGUUGUGAAAGUUUGGGGCUCAACCCUGAAAUUGCAGUUGAUACUGGCAGUCUUGAGUACAGGUGAGGUAGGCGGAAUGCGUGGUGUAGCGGUGAAAUGCUUAGAUAUCACGAAGAACUCCGAUUGCGAAGGCAGCUUACUAAACUGCCACUGACGUUGAUGCUCGAAAGUGUGGGUAUCGAACAGGAUUAGAUACCCGGGUAGUC
rnacentral:rRNA from 1 species